GGGUCAGUAGGUUGGUCGUGCCACCGGUACGUACUGGUCUCACUGGUUCCUCCUUCCUGAAGAACCGUAAUGCCAUUAAUCUGGUGUUGCGGGGAAACAGGACUGUUACUUUGAAAAAAUUAGAGUGUUUAAAGCAAGCUAACGCUUGAAUACAUUAGCAUGGAAUAAUGAAAUAGGGCGAUCGAUCCUAUUUUGUUGGUUUCUAGGAUUGACGUA
rnacentral:rRNA from 1 species